GUCUCCAUUUAACUUCCACCAUAUUAUCUAAUUUGGGUUUUCUUUAUUUCUUAUUCAGAUGAUAGUUUUCCAAGAAAAAGCCUUAUUUUCUUUUUUUGUUUUACUUCACUAACCUUGAAAGAAAUAACAAUCCCACUUUUCUUUCUCCCUUGUGGUUAUAAUACCUUCUUGAAUUGGUAUAAAAAAAGUCAACACCAUAUAGUAAUAUCUUUGAAAGAAAUUUAUAAUUGAAUUGAUAUUACUAAGGGUCUGUUUGUUUGGAAGUAGAACAGUUUCUGGAAAAGUUUUUCAGCCUUUUCCAUUGUUUGUUUGGCUGAAAAUAUUUUCCCAAGAGAAAAUCAAUUACAAAAUAUGGGAAAAGAACCCCUUAAUCUUGGAAAAUGUCUUACAGUUUCUAAUUCGGUAAGACAUUUUCAGGAAAAUUAGAAGCCAACACUGAUUUUCUGCUUCCCCUUCCCCUUCCCCCAUCCUUGACACCUGAUCUUCUGCUUGCCGUCAGCCAACACUGAUUCUCAACACCAGACACCGGAGUUCAUCAAAGCUUUUACCCAUCUUCGCCUUUCGUUGUCAAAAUCUGCACUGGCAUUCAUCUUCUUCUCUCGAAGAUUCGAUCACAGUGCUUAUUGUUACUUUAAAAUUUAUUUACUGAAAGCAUUUGUGGAUUGCAACGGAUGGGUGCACUUUGUGAAUAUAAGAUAUUGUGUCUAGUUAAAAGCUGAUCUUUGUGCAUUUGAAUCAAGUGCUUACCAUACUCUUCAUUCCAUGAAGCUUAUGGUAAUGAUUGAGCUAAAAGUCGCUCGAGCCACUCUAAAUCCCCAGGCUGUUUACCUUAUGGUGGCAACUCAUUUAAUUCCUAUGAUGGUCAUAAUCGAAACAUGGGAGCUUAUAGAACUGAGGGAUGGGAUACUGAGAGACGGGGAUCUGAUUUGCAAUCUGGCAAUCAGUUUGAAUACCAUGCCUUCCCUCAAACGUUAGAUGAGUUGGAGUUGGAAUUUAAGAUAGAGGCAAUGGAACUUGGAAGAAUUCGUGAUAAGGAAGAAGAUGAGAGAAUUAUAAGUAUCGAAAGGUAUCAGAGCGAUCGUUCCUUCAUGGCCGACGACAGAACCACCACUAGAUUGUAGAGGGAUGUUGGGCAACUGCAACAAGAAUUUGUUUAGCUCUAAGUACGACUCGAAGUUGAGAUAUAGGGGUUGGAUGCCAAGUUUGAUAGUAGGAUCAAUGAACUUCGAGAAGGGGUACAAGAAGAGUUUAAAUUUGAGAUACAAUGAUUGUUCGAGUAAUACCUGAGGCAGCUCCCUUGUAAUAGCCUGAAUUUUUAGUGGUGUCGGAAUAGUGAUUCGAGAUCACUAAGUCCGACAAAUGAGUAGAAAAUAUUAAUAAUUUAGUGAAUAUAAGUUAAGUGUGAAGUUAGGAAAAUUUUUGAAAUAGCGAAUAGUGUACUUGAAAAAAAAAAUUAAAUUAGAAUCGGAAACGAGAUAUCGAGAAUUUGAAAAUUUUUAAAACGAGCCAUAAAUAUUUUUAUAAAUAUUUAUGGAGUGUUAAUAAGUUAGUAUUAAAGUUUCGUCAAGAAA